rnacentral:rRNA from 1 species
GAGUCCUACGGGGGGCAGCAGUGGGGAAUAUUGGGCAAUGGGCGCAAGCCUGACCCAGCAACGCCGCGUGAAGGAAGAAGGCUUUCGGGUUGUAAACUUCUUUUAAGAGGGAAGAGUAGGAGACGGUACCUCUUGAAUAAGCCACGGCUAACUACGUGCCAGCAGCCGCGGUAAUACGUAGGUGGCAAGCGUUGUCCGGAUUUACUGGGUGUAGAGGGCGUGUAGCCGGGUUGACAAGUCAGAUGUGAAAUCCUGCGGCUUAACCGCAGAACUGCAUUUGAAGCUGUUGAUCUUGAGUACUGGAG